AUUGAACGCUGGCGGCAGGCCUAACACAUGCAAGUCGAGCGAGCGGCGGACGGGUGAGUAAUGUAUGGGGACUGCCCGAUAGCGAGGGAUAACUCCUAGAAACGGUAGCUCAUACCCCAUACUAUCGGAUAACCCAUAUGGGAUUAGCUAGUAGGUGAGGUAAUGGCUCACCUAGGCGACGAUCCCUAGCUGGUCUGAGAGGAUGAUCAGCCACACUGGGACUGAGACACGGCCCAGACGCCUACGGAGGCAGCAGUGGGGAAUAUUGCACAAUGGGCGCAAGCCUGAUGCAGCCAUGCCGCGUGUAUGAAGAAGGCCCUAGGGGUGUAAAGUACUUUCAGUCGGGAGGCGUUACCGACAGAAGAAGCACCGGCUAACUCCGUGCCAGCAGCCGCGGUAAUUC
rnacentral:rRNA from 1 species